rnacentral:rRNA from 1 species
CCUACGGGUGGCAGCAGUGGGGAAUAUUGCACAAUGGGGGGAACCCUGAUGCAGCGACGCCGCGUGAGUGAAGAAGUAUCUCUGUACUUACAGCUCUAUCAGCAGGGAAGCAAAUGACGGUACCUGACCAAGGAGCCCCGGCUAACUAAGUGACAGCAGCCGCUGUCAUCAGGCGGGGGCAAGCGUUAUCCGGGUUUACUGGGUGGAAAGGGGGCGUUAACGGGAUCACAAGUUUGGAGUGAAAUCCCUGGGCUUAAACCCGGAACUGCUGUGGCAACUGUGCGGCUGGAGUGGAGGAGGGGUAAGCGGAAUUCCUGGUGUAGCGGUGAAAUGCGUAGAUAUUAGGAGGAACACCGGUGGCGAAGGCGGCUUACUGGACUGUAACUGACGUUGAGGCUCGAAAGCGUGGGGAGCAAACAGGAUUAGAUACCCGUGUAGUC